GUAUUAUUACCCCCAUUUUACAGAUAAGGAAAGUGAGGUGGGUACAGGAAUCUGUCUAGAGUCAUAAACCUAGUGAGUAGCAGACCAGAAUUAGAACGCUCCAGAAUUAGAGUAUCUUGAUUCCAGAGUCGUAUGUAUAUGUGUAUGUGAAUAUAUGUAUAUGAAUGUGCAAUCAUAUGUAUAUGUCUGUAUAUGUGUAUAUUUACACAUACUUUAAAAAUUGACAUAGAGGCCAGGUGUGGUGGCUCACGCCUGUAAUCCUAGCACUUUGGGAGGCUGAGGCCAGCGGAUUACCUGAGGUCAGGAGUUCGAGACCAGCCUGGGCAACAUGGUGAAACCCCGUCUCUACU
rnacentral:lncRNA from 1 species